GACGAACGCUGGCGGCGUGCUUAACACAUGCAAGUCGAACGGAAAGGCCCUGCUUUUGUGGGGUGCUCGAGUGGCGAACGGGUGAGUAACACGUGAGUAACCUGCCCUUGACUUUGGGAUAACUUCAGGAAACUGGGGCUAAUACCGGAUAGGAGCUCCUGCUGCAUGGUUGGGUUGGAAAAUUUCGGCGGUUGGGGAUUGACUCGCGGCUUAUCAGCUUGUUGGUGGGGUAGUGGCUUACCAAGGCUUUUACGGGUAGCCUGACUGGGAGGGUGACCGGCCACAUUGGGACUGAGAUACGGCCCAGACUCCUACGGGAGGCAGCAGUGGGGAAUAUUGCACAAUGGGCGGAAGCCUGAUGCAGCAACGCCGCGUGCGGGAUGACGGCCUUCGGGUUGUAAACCGCUUUCGCCUGUGACGAAGCGUGAGUGACGGUAAUGGGUAAAGAAGCACCGGCUAACUACGUG
rnacentral:rRNA from 1 species